rnacentral:tRNA from 1 species
GAGGGUAUAGCUUAGUGGUAGAGCGAAUGCCUAGCAGGCAGGAGGCCAGGGGUUCAAUCUCCAGUACCUCCA